rnacentral:rRNA from 1 species
GAUGAACGCUGACAGAAUGCUUAACACAUGCAAGUCGACUCGAGUCUUCGGACUUGGGUGGCGCACGGGUGAGUAACGCGUAAAGAACUUGCCUCUUAGACCGGGACAACAUCUGGAAACGGAUGCUAAUACCGGAUAUUAUGGUUUUUUCGCAUGGAGGAAUCAUGAAAGCUGGAUGCGCUAAGAGAGAGCUUUGCGUCCCAUUAGCUAGUUGGUGAGGUAACGGCCCACCAAGGCAAUGAUGGGUAGCCGGCCUGAGAGGGUGAACGGCCACAAGGGGACUGAGACACGGCCCUUACUCCUACGGGAGGCAGCAGUGGGGAAUAUUGGACAAUGGACCACAAGUCUGAUCCAGCAAUUCUGUGUGCACGAUGACGUUUUUCGGAAUGUAAAGUGCUUUCAGUCGGGAAGAAGUCAGUGACGGUACCGACAGAAGAAGCGACGGCUAAAUACGUGCCAGCAGCCGCGGUAAUACGUAUGUCGCAAGCGUUAUCCGGAUUUAUUGGGCGUAAAGCGCGUCUAGGCGGCAAGGAAAGUCUGAUGUGAAAAUGCGGAGCUCAACUCCGUAUGGCGUUGGAAACUGCCUUACUAGAGUACUGGAGAGGUAGGCGGAACUACAAGUGUAGAGGUGAAAUUCGUAGAUAUUUGUAGGAAUGCCGAUGGGGAAGCCAGCCUACUGGACAGAUACUGACGCUAAAGCGCGAAAGCGUGGGUAGCAAACAGG